AUUGAACGCUGGCGGAAUGCUUUACACAUGCAAGUCGAACGGCAGCACGGGUGCUUGCACCUGGUGGCGAGUGGCGAACGGGUGAGUAAUACAUCGGAACGUACCCAGUCGUGGGGGAUAACGUAGCGAAAGUUACGCUAAUACCGCAUACGUCCUGAGGGAGAAAGCGGGGGACCGUAAGGCCUCGCGCGAUUGGAGCGGCCGAUGGAUGAUUAGCUAGUUGGUGAGGUAAAGGCACACCAAGGCGACGAUCAGGAGCUGGUCGGAGAGGAUGAUCAGCCACACUGGAACUGAGACACGGCCAAGACUCCUAGGGGAGGAAGCAGUGGGGAAUUUUGGACAAGGGGCGAAAGCCUGAUCCAGCCAUUCCGCGUGAGUGAAGAAGGCCUUCGGGUUGUAAAGCUCUUUCGGCAGGAACGAAACGCUUUAGAUUAAUACUCUGGGGUAAUGACGGUACCUGAAGAAGAAGCACCGGCUAACUACGUGCCAGCAGCCGCCGUAA
rnacentral:rRNA from 1 species